UAUCCCAUUCCAAGCCAAUCCAAGCCUCCCAGCGCUGAAACAGGGGACUUCUUCCCAAAUCAGCCCGUUCCAUCCGUGAUCCACGCGGUGCACCAGCGACCAGCUCCUUCCCAGCAUCCCAACCGCGUGCCCACCGCAUCCAUGCCAUCCUCUUCAUCCGGUUCCAACCUCCCAGCAGCCGAGAUCCAGCUCCUCCGCCAUCAGUCCGUUCCAGCCGCAUCCAACGAGUGCAGCCAGCGACUAGCUCCUCCGUCUUCAUCCGGAUCCACUCCCAGCAGCCACGAGUCACAGCCGACGCUCCCAUCCUCCCAUGGUCCAAAGAAGGAAAGCCAUGAAGUAUGAUUCCUUCCACGGAUCCACAGCUCGCGAUCCAGCAUCCCGUUUUUCGCCAUCACCGUCCGCAUCUCCUCCGGAUUCAAGAUCCCCAAAUCCCGGAUGACCCUGCCUCUGCCUCUUCUCCCUUCCGCAUUCACCAGCCUCUGCAAUCAAGCCCGAGAUCCAGCCAUUCCCCCACGGAUUGACACCCUUCAUCAUCUUCGCCCGAGAUCCAGCCAUUCUCCCAACAUAACGCCCUCAC
rnacentral:lncRNA from 1 species